UGCGCAGACAAUAAAUGGGAGUUUUUGCCCAUCUUACAUUUAGAAUUACGCGUAAAGUUAAAUUACUCAUUAACCAAACAUAUUAAAGACCUAGGGUCUUCUGAUUUAAGGUCCUUGGAUUGUGACCUUGAAAUUGAGGUCAAGGUCAUUGGUUAAUAGGUCGUUCUAGAUUUUGACCUUUGCUUUAAAUUCAUAUAAAUACAUCAUUAAGCCAUAGGAACUAACAUUUU
rnacentral:lncRNA from 1 species